rnacentral:rRNA from 1 species
GGAUGCGAUCAUACCAGCACUAAAGCACCGGAUCCCAUCAGACCUCCGUAGUUAAGCAUGCUUGGGCGAGAGUAGUACUAGGAUGGGUGACCUCCUGGGAAGUCCUCAUGUUGCAUUCC